AUUUUAUUUCACUAAUAACUCCCGAACCGGAUGUUGCGCGCGCAAACGGUCUUUCCGGUUAUGUACAGGAACCUUUUGGCUACAGAGUAUCAUAAAGCAAUGCAAAAAAGUGUUUGGGAGUGCGCGACAGCGAAUGUUACCGUGUAUGUAUACGAAUUCGGUGCAAUGUACCGGGCCAAAUCCCUUAACAUAAACUCUGGACAUAUUCGUGUCUUAUAUGGAAGCAUUGGUGCGCUGCUGCAAAUCGAACGGCCAAUCAAUUGCGCGUUAUAAAUUCAGUAUUAUAUUUCUUGCAGUCCUUCACGCUGCAUACCUUUCUACCAGUGCACGCAAUUGAUUUUACAAGUUCCGCUGGACAGAUACACCGUUUGUACCAAACCCAGACUGGCAAAAAGCAUGUUAUAAAAUAGUGAAGAUUGGGAAAGCAGGGUACUUAUGAGAUUGUGGAAACAGCGAGUUGUCCAGUACGGAUUCGCAGAUUUACAACGAUAUCGACCACUUUCCGCAGUUUUAUGGAACAUGACCGGCAUUAUUUACCAGUAACGAAGAUGGAGCAAUUGAGAAAAUUUGCAAUAAGACGAUGGUUUCCCGCUUAUAAGCUACGUCAACGUAUCUUAUAAGCGAGAGGUUUCCAUAGACCUUGUACAUGGAAACCGGGCUACUUUUAUGCUUUUGCCCUAGCUGAAAUCUCGGCACCAUAUGAGAAGGAUGGAGACCUUCCAUUGAAACUACAGCGAUUGUGGUAGUAUCAUUCCAUGUUCCAGCGAAUUAUCUGUCUCAUUACUUUGGGAAAACCAAGCUUACAAUGAACUCAUUCUGCUUUUUAAGCGAUGUCGCACCGACACCAGUUAACAAGCAGGACGUGUCCACUGCCUUUGCCCAUGCAAGGCAGCCGAACGAUACUUACGAAAAUUCGUUUAAUUGGCGUUUCUACACGGCUGAUCUCCUGGAACCGUUGCAGCGACUCCUUCCUCCAAUGCGAUACGGUCAGCAGCUGAUUGUGCCAGCCCGGAAGUUGUUACGUUCUUGCUAGUAGUAAUGCCAGAACCAGACUACAGUUUCGGCUGUUUCCUCUCCGGCUGUAUCAUCGCAGACUGAUCGGCCAGCAAGCUUUCUGCGACCAAAUGUCCUGCGACUAGUUGCCUUCGGCGAAAUGUAGCGGUGCCAUUAAAUUUAUUACUGCACUGCAGAGGCGCUGGAUGGAUGUACAGCGUGUCAAGCGUCUCUCCGACGAGGUACGCGCAACCGUCCGGGAUACCAGCCGCACGUGCCCUUCGUUGCCGGUGGAACGCUGGCGGACGGUGUUGGCGCAACGCGACACCAUCCCGCCGACGGCGAUUUGCGUCACAUUCAACCGGCGUCUAGAUGAUGCCGUGCUGCGCGCUAAUAUUGUCAUUAAAGACGACGCUAAUAUUGUCAUUUAUCCCAUUAUCUUCGCUUUCAAAUUAUCUCCAGUCUUUAAUUAUCUUCGCUCUCAAACUCCUGAUAAUAAAAGACUGGAGUUUGCAGACUCCACUGUUUUACUAUGAGGAGUUUUAGAGCGAAGAUAAAUGGGAGGAUUCUUCCUCUUAAUUAUCCCUGUGGAUGAUUUUCGCAUGGAUCGGGUAUAUCGGCGUCGGCUAAUUUAUUCCCAGCUCCAUUUGGACCAUGCGAAACUGAUUCAACCGUUACUCUGUUGGACCACUUCCUGCUCGUCGUUUUCUCCACUCGGCGUUGAUCUUCGAAUGUCGGCAUCGCGGCUCCCGGCGAAUUGCGGUGGACUUUACCGGCGCGAGGAUAGAGUGUGGCGAUUUGCUGAAAAUCUUCCAUAUGAUGCACCACGUGGCGGAGCACCAGCCGGGAAUCCGAUUACAGACGAUGAUUGCGUGGCUUGAUGGUGAACGGCCCGGCCGAUAAUCUGCGCUGGGAGACCCGGGUGCCGGCGCGCGGGUUCUGUCGUCUGUGGGAUUUUAAGGUAAACGCCGUAGUGAAGUGACCUUUCGGUUUAAACUGCCGGUUUGCUGGCUGUUUACGGGGUGAAAUUGAUUUUUUGCUCUCGCUUAAUUUCAUGCUUAUUUACGGCCUGCUUCUAUGUGUUUUGCUUAAGUUCGAAAAGGAACAAGACUCCAGUCUGAGAAAUAGCCAAGAAAUCCGAUCCGGCGUCCAGGCACGGUUCGUUUACACCCGGUUUAGGCUGAGUAUGGCCCAAAGUGUUUUUCCUUUGGAUAAUGAUAUAGUUAAGGCCAGUAUGUUGUACUGUUUCGCUCUUUGUUUGUAAGUGGUUUGUCUGGCUACUUCCGAUCCGGAACGAGACUGUAGCCGGAUAAACAGCGAACCGAUCCGCCGGAUUAACAGCGUGACUGCGUCUCCUCAUCCAACUGGCAAAAAACGUACGGAAGAUAAUCCUAGUGCAGCCGCGGACGGUGGAGCGACGAUCGUAUUUAACUGGUCGAAAUUUAACUGGUUGUGUUACUUGUGUAUCAGAGCAUGUAUGGCGUUAAUGUGUCAAUUAUCAUUUUGUGAACACCUUGUACACUAUUUACUAUCGUCGUAAUGUUGCCUAAUGCGAAACGUUUCCAAGAGAUUUUUUUCCUUAGUCUAGCUUUUAUUCAGUUCUUCGGUUUUGUUUAUAGUUUAGACACUUUACGUUCACGUUGUUAACAUUUCUUAACCACAGGUAUUUAAUUAACAAGAAUAAGCAGUUUUAUAGUAAAAAUGUCGCUCGUGAAUUUAA